ACAUUUAACAUUUUUGGCUUCUACUUCCGAGUUCGUUGGCAUCCGUGAACUCGGGACUCGUUGUCUCUCUCUUCUCUCCCUCUCCCCGCUCUUGCAGAUAUGUUCAAGAAGUUCUCUUCUGAAGGUUUAUCUUUACAAAAUCAAGUGAAAAUGUCUGUCCAGUGCAAGAUCCGGCAAAGUAUUGCAGAUGAGGUGUGGAUUGAAACUGGCUCUUAAUUUCCCCUUCCUUUAGUUUCAAUGCAUCUAAGGAACAGUAGAAGCAUUAAUGAAUUUACUUCAACUGCAUCUGAAAUAUCUCUCACUUGCAUGUAAUACCCAGGCCUGGAACCGGUAUAAGAUGAUUUGCUAUCGAAGAAAUCACCCCUCAUUGUUGCCAAAUGUCAAAACCAUCUGAAUCCGGUUGUGGUGAACAAUGUGCCUUUGUUUUUCAAUGUUCGUGAUGGCCCUUGCAUGCCUACACUAUGGCUUCUUCAUCAAUGUAAAGCACUCCUUAUGCUUAUAACGUAGUGAAAAUUGGUCUUUCUACUGGGACAGA